ensembl:lncRNA
GGGGCUCGGGCACAUGGCAAAAGGACAGCUUGCGAGGAACAAUGGAGGGAGCCGAUGGCAGAUCCUUUUCAUGCCUAAUUACCCAUGAGCACAUGGCACAAUGGCUUAUUUAACUCCGCCUUGGCUCGGAAUGGAGACAGGUUCUUGUUCCAGUUGGAAAGGAUUCCAGCCCUGGCCCUUGCCUCCAUGUCAGGGAGGGGCAGGGAGACAAGAUGAGAAUCCUAGAAUAGAAUUCCGGCCUCGCCCCGUGGAAUGUUGCAGACUGUGGAGAAGCAGGCCUGCCAGGACCAGGCUGUAAGGGGAGCCCAGGAAGAGGAGAUGGGAUGGAGCGACGGGCAAAGCGUCUCCACGCUAUGCAGGCUCAAGACUGCCGUUUCCUCUACAUGGAAAGUUCACAACCAACUCUCCAGUGCAUUAAAGAUGAUGGUUCUGGAGGCCUGAGGUCUGAGACCACUAUUACUGGAUUGACAGAGACGUGUUGGAGGCUUGAAAGGAAAAUCCAUCCCUCCUCCGUCUAGCUUCUGAUGACUACCGGCACUCCUAGGCUUGUGGCCACAUCACCGAAGCCUGGUCUCCAUCUUCACACACCUGCUCCUCAGCUUUUAUCAAACUCCUCUGCCUCUUUCUUAUAAAGACACAUGCGUUUUUAAGACCCACACAGAUAAUCUCUGGAUCUCAGGAUCCUUUAUCUAGUCAGACCUGCAAAAACUGCUUUUCCAAAUAAGAUCAUAUUUAUAGAUUCCAGAAAUAAAGGCCAG